CGGUGUCAGCGCUCCCGGGGGACCGAGGGGAGAGUAUCCGCGCUUCCGGGGAACCGAGGGGGACAGGGUCUGGGAGGGACCCACUUUUUCUGGCAGAUAACCUUGUGCGUGCGCACACAUCACCUGGGCCCAUAUGUACGUGGGGUCUGAGUACACCUGGGGGUGCCGAACGUUCCACCUUUCUAACAAGCCGGGUGAGGGGGAUGCUACCUGUGGGCGACCGCAGUUGAGAAGGCCCUGGGGACGCCCUGCCUACCCUCCGCUUACAGGUGCAUUCGGGUCGCUGUUCGUUAACCGGGGUGUCCAGAGCCCUGCGCCUCAGGGACGGACUCGGGACCCGCGGUUAAUAGGACCGGGACUGCCACGUGCGGAGACAGUGCCCGCCGUCUGGGUGGAGUGGAGCGAGGACGCGCAGUGCGCAGGGCCCCGCCUCUGGGGCUCGUGCGGGAGCAAGGCGGCGCCAAAGGACGCGAGGAGAUGGCUUCCCGGCAGGUGCAUUCCUGAGCGGCGGAAUCAAACCGACACUGAACCCAGAGGGCCGCGCUCCGGUUUAAGCCGGGCUGCUGCAGCGUCCGAAACGGCGUCCGGUGACCCCGCAGGUCCCGCGGGUCCCGGCCGCAAGGGUCGUGGGGUGUGCACGCUCCCGCGCCCUCCUCCCACGCUUUCCACUCCGCCCAGAGACCUCGAAGAACACCUGCUAGGCCAAGUCCCGCCUGCUUUGAACGCUCUGUGCUCCUGCUUCUUAGGUGUUCUCCCUGCUCCCCGCUCCGCUGCCGCUGCCGCUGCGCUCCCUUUUCAGACACUUUCUAACCUUUGCCCGGAAUCGUCAGGGGGCACUCAGCUUACCCUGCACCGAGUCAAAAUCCCACUCGCAUCGUGAUCCUGGAGGUGGGAUCCCUAACAGUGUGUUCAACACAGAACUGCCUUUCCGGUUCUGGGACUACAUCUCCCCAGGAGGUGACCCUGUGUGCCCUCCGCCCCGCCCCUCCUUCCCCGGAGUUACUGCCGGCCGGGCUGGAACAGACCCCUGCGGGGACCCGGUCGAAUCGCAUUUUAAUCAGGCGCCAGCAGGUGGCAGCACGCCGCCUUGCCUCGGUCCUGCUGGCGGAGCCUGAACACCUUUUCCGUGUUUUCAACAAAAUCAAUUUUCGAGUGUUCACAGUUGUUGAACUGAGAGGCUUUACUCUACACCUUUAAUUUUAGACGGAGAACUAGUUUGGUUUUUUUUCCCGAGCAUUAUGGGGUAGCCGAAUCUGUUCUUAUCGAUUCUUCUCUCAUAGAAUGCAGGUGUAAAAUUGCAGUCAUUUAACGACAGGCUUCCGAGAACUCCAUAAUUAUGGACAACGAAAGCCUUAUGGAUUAAAUCCAGCAAAUUUUAUAUCUCACCUUCACUUGACAUUUUCAAUAUUCCACUGAUGCGUCCCUACCUCAGUGCUCGGGAAGUGGUGACCACAUGGGUCACAACCACACCAAACUGUGCUACUUGGUUUGACGCGUUUCUGUCCUUCUCACUGACUGAGCCGCUCCAGGGCCUGGUCCCGUCUUAUCUGUCUGAUUGUUUGACACCCUCAGCACAUCUGAUACCUAGUAGGUUGUCCGUGAAAAUGUCUGUGACCAGAGCGCCAAACACAUCUGUAGCGACAGCUCAUUCAGUCGGAGAUGACGAUCUUCUGGAAUCUGUGUUUGUGUGCAGACCCUCAGGACUACGCAUGCAAGUGCACUCCCGGGAGGGCUUCUUGUGUCCGCAGACAAGGAGGGAAGAGCUGAGGAAACAAAUUAAGGCACUGUCUUCUCUUGGGAAAAUUGAAUCCAUAAUGACACAUUAUUAGUUGAAGACGUCCCCUCCCACCCCCACCUUAUUCCUGAGCCAGCAGGUACUAAAGCAGCAGUUUUCCAGAACAUGUUUGGGAAGCCUCAUUGUACAGCAUAUGGAAGGGACUGUGUUCCUCGAGCCCCAUGAGGUUUCUAUAGAAUUUCUUCAAAUUUUAUCUUGGCUAGUAGUAAACACACAAGUGCAAUGUUAUGUUUGGGGAUUUUCCCUCUGUAUUUUUGAUUGUAUAUUGUCGACCCAAAACAGAUAAGAUCACUGAACCAUGGUUAAAAAUUAGGCCACACUAACAUGGUAUUUGGGUAUUUGACGUGCUCUCUAACAGCUCGUCUGUAAGAAGCCAGAGCCAGAUGACCAGGCUCUGCUGAUGUCCUGGGAUGAGGCCCAUGGUGACACAGACAUUAGUCUAAACCUCCCUCUUGGCUUUUCUGAUGUGUGUGCCUGAUGCCUCUUGAUUGCAAAUCUGUCACAUGCCAUCAGUGGCUGGCUCUGGGUUUAUGGAAAGUGUGGAGGCACUUCCCACAAUGGUUUCUGGCACAUAGUGGACACUCAGGGGACGUUUGUCUAGUCAUUCAUAGCCUGGCCAUUGGCUAAUGGGGCAGGCCCUGGACCAGAUGGUGGACCACCACCAGGCCAAAAGGCGGUCCACGCCAUGGGAGACACGUGCUGUGAUGGUGCCGAAGGAAACUGCCUGCAGGAAGCGUCACCAGGCGGGGGCACGUGCAGGGCUGACCUCUGAAGAUUGAGUGGAGACUCCUCUGGUAAGCUGGGUAGAAGGAAAAGAACAUUGCUGGCAAAGGAAACCAUGUGUUCAGACACAGGUAAGGAUGAAAUUUGUUAACGAAUAUAAGGAGCUGUAAGUUCUUGCUCUGGGUUGAAGUGAAAGGCGUCUCGUGGAGAAUAUUAGGGAAUUUGAACAUUAACCAGGUAAUGUAAGUGUGUGUGCUCUGUGGAGACUGGCCUGACUCUUACAGGCCAGUAUUUCUCAUUCAAGGCCCACUGCUCUCCAUGUGCAGGGACAGAUUCUCAAACUGUUUCUCAGUAAGGCUAUAAAUGCCACAUCUGUAUUUAGAUGGCAGUGUUUAAAAUCACUGUGUCCAUUUACACGUCUGUGUCUCAUCCACUCUGCAUUUCCUGAACGUCCACUUUAUACCACAAUUUACUUCUAGAAUCCCAAAGACGCCCCCACCCUCAUUUCUGGAAAUGAUGAGCGUGUUCCCUCACACAGAGGAGGGGAGUGUAGGUGGCACAUGGGAUUACAGUCACUGCACAGCUGCCUUCAUGUAGGGAGCGAGGCAACCGGCCAUGGCUAGUGUGCGGGGGGAGAAGAGCCCGGCACGCAGGUGCCUCCGGAGGCUGGAAGGCAGCAGAAUCAUCUCCCCGGGAGACUCCGAGCGGAACCAGCCCUGCCAACACUUUGAUUUCAACCCAGUGAGACCUGUUUCAGAGUUUUGACUCCCAAAAAUGUAAGAUGCAUUUGUUAAGCCGCUAAGUUUGGGGCAGUUUGUUAGAGCAGCAACAGAAAAUACGUAAGGCAGGGGGUGCAAUGGGCGGCGGUCGGUAACCACUCAUGUUUUUCAGAAACCUCAGUACGCGUGUGGUCUCCCCCAGGCGAAUGUCCUCCGCGCUCGAUGCACGACGUCCCCACCCUCCAGCUGUCACUCCAUGAGUUCCUGGGCACAGUACGCACACCUUCCUGUGCUUCUUACAUCCUUUCCACCCUUUAAAUGCAACCUCUGGGAUCCUAUUAGCUGGGACUUUCUUGAUUGUAGGUUGUGGAAAUCUCCUCUCCCUCUGGCAGAGCAACGUUCUCUGGACCUAGAGCAGGAAGCAUGGCCCUGAGCCUUGGCCGCAGACCCCCCUGUCUACAUUCAUGUUCCCCGUUGCUUGACAUCGUUAUGAAAGCAGUGGCCAAAUCAUAGAAUGGCUUUUUAAAUUGGGAGGGGCAAAAGCAUCUUUUGAUUUUUACCUCUGUCAACUAGCUGUUUCUCCAGCUUUUAAGAUGAUAAACUAGGGGCACCCGGGGGGCUCAGUCGCUUAGGCAUCUGACACCUGAUUUCGGCUCAGGUCAUGAUCUCGGGGUUCAUGAGACUGAGCCCUGUGUCACAACUGGGAGCCUGCUUGGGAUUCUCUCCCUCCCUCUCUCUGCCCCUUCCCCACUCACGCUCUCACUCUAAAACACAAAACAAAACUGGGGACACGUCGAAGACUCAGUGAGAAGACAGAUCAGCUGGGACAGCAAGUGGGAGAGUUGAUGGCUCGCAGGCUGGUUGUGGGGGGCGGGGAGGCCUGAGGACAGAGGGUGCUCUUUGCAGGGUCAAGGUGGCAGUGACCCAGCCCAGCGUUCACAGGUUCACACCACUGCCUGAUUCUUUAUCCUUUUCCCUUUUGUUUUGUUCAACACCUAGAGUGAGAUAUGGGCUGGUAGGCUGGGUGUACAUUCAGCGUGAUUCUCCUGACAGGAGCCCGCCCCCCAGGGUCCCCCUCCUGGUGCUGGUCCUGCUGGAGGUGCCAUCGCCACACUUGCUGUGUCUUAACUUGCAUUUUCCAGAUAACUAGUAAGUGAAUUCUGGUUCAUAUGCUUAUUGGCAAUUUAUAUAUCUUCUUUGGUAAAGUUUCUAUUUAAAUAUUUACUCCAUUUUUUACUGGGUUGUUUUUUUCUUUUUAUUAUUAGGUAUAAGAUUAAAAAAAUAUGUUUUGCACACUAGUUGUUUAUUAGAUCUAUGUUUUGUGAAUGUUUUCUCCUGAUCAGGAGCUUGUCUAUUCAUAGUCUUACAGAAUCUUCAAUGAACAAAUAUUUUCAAUUUUGGCAAAGUUACUUUAUCAUUUUUUAACAUGUUCAUUGCUUUCUGUGGCCUAAGAAACGUUUGCCUACCUCAUACCACAAGGAUCCUGUAUUUUCACAUAAAACUUUAAAUGUCGAUGAGCCAUCUCAAAUUAACUUUUGUGAAAUGGGUGAAUGAGGAAGGGUCAAGUUCAUGUUUUCCUUGAUAUGCAAUUAUUCCAGAACUAUUUACUAAAAAAUGCUUUCUUUCCCCCAUUUGAUUGCCUUUCCACCUUGGUCCAACAUCAGCCAGCCCUGGGGGGUGCCUACCGCUGGGCUCUGUCCUGUGCGGGCCCCCUGCCCUCACACACACACAGUCUCUACUACUGAACUUUAUCUGAGGCUCAACCUUAUCUACAUGCAUCGUAAACACUGGGAGAAAGUAAAAUAAAGUACAGUAGAAUGCAUCAGAUGUAUCUACAAAACCUACAGGAAAUGUCUUUUAAACUUGCCCAGCAUUUACCAUUUCCAAAGCUCUUCACCCCUUUCUGGAGAUUCACAUUUUUGUGCUGUAUUAUUUUCUCUGAGGCUAAAGAAUUUCCUUUAGCAUUUCAUGCCAUAUGGGUCUGUUGCUAUUUCCUUAGUUUCCCUGUCUGGGGAUGCUUUCAUUUGGUCUUCGUUUGAAGGCUAUUUUUGCGGCACAUUGAUUUUUGCACGUGACCUUGUCUUUCCGUGAGCGCUCUGGAGCAGCCCUGCUGUCUUCCGACCGUAGCUUCUCACCGGAGCCAGCUGUCCUUCCGCGUGCAGGUUUUCUGUGGCUACUGUGCCAUACUCCUGUUUUGAGGAUUUUCUCUUGGUUUCACCAGAUGGACGAUGAUGUGCCUAAGAUUCAUUUUAUCUGUAUUUGUAUUUCUUUUGGCUCAAUAAACUUAAUUCUCUGAGUUA